rnacentral:rRNA from 1 species
UACAGAGGGUGCGAGCGUUAAUCGGAAUUACUGGGCGUAAAGGGCGCGUAGGUGGUGGCAUAAGUUAGGUGUGAAAGUCCUGGGCUUAACCUGGGGAUUGCGCCUAAUACUGUGAGACUUGAGUAUUGUAGAGGAAAGUGGAAUUUCCGGUGUAGCGGUGAAAUGCGUAGAUAUCGGAAGGAACAUCAGUGGCGAAGGCGACUUUCUGGACAAAUACUGACACUGAGGCGCGAAAGCAUGGGGAGCAAACAGG